CCUACGGGUGGCAGCAGUGAGGAAUAUUGGUCAAUGGACGAGAGUCUGAACCAGCCAAGUAGCGUGAAGGAUGACUGCCCUAUGGGUUGUAAACUUCUUUUAUAAAGGAGUAAAACGCGGCACGUGUGCCUUUUUGCAUGUACUUUAUGAAUAAGGAUCGGCUAACUCCGUGCCAGCAGCCGCGGUAAUACGGAGGAUCCGAGCGUUAUCCGGAUUUAUUGGGUUUAAAGGGGGCGUAGAUGGGUUGUGAAGUCAGGUGUGAAAGUUUGAGGCUCAACCGUAAAACUGCAAUUGAUACUGGGAGUCUUGAGUACAGUAGAGGUAGGCGGAAUUCGUGGUGUAGCGGUGAAAUGCUUAGAUAUCACGCAGAACCCCGAUUGCGAAGGCAGCUUACUAAACUGUGACUGACAUUGAUGCUCGAAAGUGUGGGUAUCGAACAGGAUUAGAUACCCUUGUAGUC
rnacentral:rRNA from 1 species